UGAGGCAGGAGAAUUGCUUGAACCCAGGAGGUGGAGGUUGCAGUAAGCCGAGAUCGUGCCACUGCACUCCAGCCUGGGCGACACAGCAAGACUCCGUCUCA
rnacentral:miRNA from 1 species